rnacentral:rRNA from 1 species
UACGUAGGGUGCAAGCGUUGUCCGGAAUUAUUGGGCGUAAAGAGCUCGUAGGCGGUCUGUCGCGUCGGCUGUGAAAACCCGCAGCUCAACUGUGGGCUUGCAGCUGAUACGGGCGGGCUGGGAUUCGGUAGGGGAGACUGGAAUUCCUGGUGUAGCGGUGAAAUGCGCAGAUAUCAGGAGGAACACCGGUGGCGAAGGCGGCACUCUGGGCCGGUACUGACGCUGGAGGAGCGAAAGCGUGGGGAGCGAACAGG